rnacentral:rRNA from 1 species
AUUGAACGCUGGCGGCAUGCCUUACACAUGCAAGUCGAACGGCAGCACGGGAGCAAUCCUGGUGGCGAGUGGCGAACGGGUGAGUAAUAUAUCGGAACGUGCCCAGUCGUGGGGAUAACGUAGCGAAAGCUACGCUAAUACCGCAUACGAUCUAUGGAUGAAAGCGGGGGGAUCGCAAGACCUCGCGCGAUUGGAGCGGCCGAUAUCAGAUUAGGUAGUUGGUGAGGUAAAGGCUCACCAAGCCGACGAUCUGCAGCUGGUCUGAGAGGACGACCAGCCACACUGGGACUGAGACACGGCCCAGACUCCUACGGGAGGCAGCAGUGGGGAAUUUUGGACAAAUGGGCGCAAGCCUGAUCCAGCAAUGCCGCGUGCAGGAUGAAGGCCUCGG